ensembl:lncRNA
CACGAUCUCGGACCGGACCGAGAUUCAUUCCCCGGACGGACCAUUGCCCAGAGACUCGUUCCAAAGGAGACCGGAGGACGAUACAGACGGACGUCCGCAUCCAGUGACCGGGACAGCAUAAACAAUAGCAGUGUCUCGGGAUGCUUCCUAAGCAGGCGGGCAAUACAGGUAACAUGGUGGCAUGGGACUCUAAUGCAGAAGGAGGCAUGGGAAACAUCCUAACUACGUGCCUGUAAUUGCCAACAUUUGAUGAUGAUUCGUGUGGACGCCUGAUACGCAAACGAUGACGUCAUCUCCCCCCUACCUGCUGGGCAACGUUUUGGUGCGUUCCAGGCAACCCGUAAACUUCUACCCAUGAAUGUGCCCUGGAAGGGCAGUCAAACCCGUAACUCACUACCCGUGACUCGUAGCAGAUCGAUGUACUCCCAGUGACAGCUUUUGACUUCACUCACACAAAAAAUCUAUAAAAUCUAAUAAAUUGGUUGGUUCAUACCACAUGUUUGAUGGUAUGAACGUCCAUAUUAUUGGCAUUUUUGCACGUGCAACAGAUCGUACUUAAAAAUAAUUUAUUGGUCAGUAGGCAGUGCUUUAAUGCCACUGCUGCACGUGGGCCAGGUUAGGUUGGCAGCAUAAGUCACCAUGGUGAUGCAGCGAUGCUCAAACAGAGACACUUUCGUGUCACAGCAUACCCUGGCUUUGAGCGCAACAUACCUUGCGAACCCGU